GGAAUUGUGACAUUAAAAAGCAAUAAUUACUAAAAGAAAUUUAAUUUGUAGUUCUAAAUAAAUUCUAACUGCAUUUAGGACGUUUUUUACUCACUUUAUGUCUCUUCCACGAUGUUAUUUCUCUCUCCAACAACGUACGUUACAAUUACAUUAGCGUGACCAAUUAUGCAAAUUAGGCGAUGACGUCAUUUAGCGACUUCUAGGACAGCGAUUUUCCUUACUGAGGAGUUGGCAACACUGGUUCAGUCAGUCUAGUUUCACUUUCCUUUGAGAAAAGUCCAACCUCCGUAUUCUCUGAUUUUUUUUUUCUUAUUUUCUACGGUUGAAAUCAUGGAUGUUUUGCUUGAGGAAAUAAGAAGCAUCGAUGAAGCAGCAGCUUCUGUACUGGAACUGGCAGAUUUGACCAGUGACUCAGAUCUCCAGUCACUGACUUUGCAAGACCUGGGUGAGCUGCUCCCUGGAGUUAAAAAUGUCAAACUGAGAAGGAAAAUCUUUGAUAUAAUACAGAUGCAGAAACCAAUUGGUGUGCCUGUGAAAGAAUUCAAGGAAUCUCUCAGCGCUGCCUUAACCGAAAAUGGAGUCUUGGUGGACUACCUGAAAAUGUUGAAGGAAAUGAAGAUCCAAAUGAAUAAAAUGCAGGAUUUCCUUGAUGCACAUAUCAAUCAACUGGAGGACUUCAGGAAAUCUCAACCAUUGCAGAACCAGGAGAAAGGAUCUUUGUCAAGUAGUCACAAUAGCCAAACUGGUGACCCUCCACAAACACAACAAGCUGCCAGUAGUGCAUUGCACUCCUCACGCUCUACUACUGUCAAGCGUGACCAUCCAGAGAAAAGACAAGCCACACUGAAGUACAAGAUGGUGAUCAGUGGAAAAACUUUUAAUGCCCAUCAGCAGAUACUGGACAAAGUAAAGUCUGUAAGUGAGGAUCCUGAUUUGAAUUUGAUCAAACAGGAAGGAAGCGAUCAGAAUUGCCAGGCCAUUAUUGUCUUCUGUCCCAUUGCUUCACGUAUGGGGACAGAUAUUGAUGCAGCCAUGGAGCGAGUCACAGGUUCUCAGCCUGUCAUUCUGGUUUUGAUGCAUCACGCACAUGAACCCAAACAUCUAACUUUAAUGAAAAUACAGACUAAUGUUUCUAAUGUUGUGUCACCAUUCCAUAUAUUCUACCAUGAGACAGUGAAUGGAUUGUUGCAGUGUCAGCAAAAUAACAGUGCCAUUUCUGAAAUUCGAGAUGCAUUACUGAAGCACGCAGAUAUUCAGACAAUUACAGAUACAACUGGAAAGACACAGAAUGUGGCUGCUAAAAGUAGUAAUAGUGGUGGUAGUAUUAGUAAUUCAUUAAUGAGAAUUCAAUCCUUUUUUGGUAAAUAAUGAUAGUGUAAAGUCAGAUAUAACAAGUCAAAGAAACUGUAAAUAUGUCCCAUGCAUUACUCUUUUGUAAUCCGCUUUUUUUUGCACUGUAUCACUUGAGCAGUGUAGAUUGCUCUGACCGUUUGCAUAGAAAUUGAGGAUUUUAUGGUUUUGAUCAUGCAAAAGAAUUAUUUUGUGCAUUGUGAAACAAAAGGGCAGCACAGAAUUGCCUUUGUGGUCUUUAUUUCAGUACUUUAAGAUAUUUCAGCUGUAAGGGUAGUUGCAGAGUCAACAGGUAUGAUCAUGAAGUGUCAAAGAAGAGGUCAGAGACACAGUAUAUAGGGUGUAGAUAGUCAUAAAACUACUUUCAACUGUACCAACUGCUAUUUAUCUCUAAAAAAACAAAAGUGACAGUUACAGCUGUAUGUACACAGUGACACCGUAAGUCUUUUGAUCACUAAGAUAAAUAAUCAAUGCAUUUCUAUCAAAGUCAAAUGUAUUGUGAUUAGUUUCACGGUUGCUAUGUAAAUCUGCAAGUUAAUUUCAUCUUUCAGAAAAAAAAUCAAGCCAAUGUUUAAAAUUGUGAAUAAAAAUGUAAAUACAACAUCUGUUGUCUUCUUUUUCUUUUUUCCCUUAUUUUUUAAAAAAUUGAGGUGUCCUCAAAACACCAGUGUAUUUACAGUAUAAUUUAACCUAGUUCAGCUAAUGUUUCUGCUGUUAUUUUCUAUAUUCUUGGCUUUUACUCACACUAAGAAGGACUAAAGAAUGUAAAGACCACAUAUUCAGUGAUAAGCCCACUUUAUACAUGUAUACAUUAUAUUCAUAGAAAAUGAAAAAUUGUGUAUGUGAAAAACUUUUUUUUUGUUUGUUUUAUGGCUGGUGUAAAGUUUGUCAUCUAAAUAAAAAUGAACUAACAUAAACUGCGCUGUAUUCUAGUAUUUGACGGAAUAAUUACGUUUAAUC
ensembl:lncRNA